rnacentral:snRNA from 1 species
AGCUUUGAGUGGCAGUAUCGUAGCCAAUGAGGUUUAUCCGAGGCGCGAUUAUUGCUAAUUGAAAGGAGUGGGCCACCACUGCCUGGCUGUGGUGAAAAAUGUUUAAAAGUCAGCUGG